rnacentral:rRNA from 1 species
GACGAACCGUGCGAACGUUGUUCGGAUUCACUGGGCUUAAAGGGCGCGUAGGCGGCUUGCCAAGUCAGGGGUGAAAUCUUUCGGCUCAACCGGAAAACAGCCCCUGAUACUGGCGAGCUGGAGGGAGGUAGGGGCGGAUGGAACUUCCGGUGGAGCGGCGAAAUGCGUAGAUAUCGGAAGGAACGCCGGUGGCGAAAGCGAUCCGCUGGACCUCUUCUGACGCUGAGGCGCGAAAGCCAGGGGAGCAAACGGG